UACGGAGGGUGCGAGCGUUGUCCGGAAUCACUGGGCGUAAAGGGCGCGUAGGUGGCCUGUGGAAGUCUGCGGUGAAAGCCCGGCGCUCAACGCCGGGUCGGCCGUGGAUACUCUCGGGCUUGAGCUUACUAGAGGCAGAUGGAAUUCCGGGUGUAGCGGUGGAAUGCGUAGAGAUCCGGAAGAACACCGGUGGCGAAGGCGGCCUUCUGGACAGUGACUGACGCUGAGACGGCGAAAAGCGUGG
rnacentral:rRNA from 1 species